UGGCGGCGUGCCUAACACAUGCAAGUCGAACGAAGCAUACGGACUGGAGAUUCGUCGAAGGACCGUAUGACUUAGUGGCGGACGGGUGAGUAAUGUAUGAGCAACCUGCCUUUCAGAGGGGGACAACAGUUGGAAACGACUGCUAAUACCGCGUAACGUAUCGUGGGGGCAUCCUCGUGAUACCAAAGGAGCAAUCCGCUGAAAGAUGGGCUCAUAUCUGAUUAGCUUGUUGGCGGGGUAACGGCCCACCAAGGCGACGAUCAGUAGCCGGACUGAGAGGUUGAACGGCCACAUUGGGACUGAGAUACGGCCCAGACUCCUACGGGAGGCAGCAGUGGGGAAUAUUGGGCAAUGGGCGAAAGCCCUGACCCAGCAACGCCGCGUGAAGGAAGAAGGUCUUCGGAUUGUAAACUUCUUUUACCGAGGACGAAGAACGUGACGGUACUCGGAGAAAAAGCCACGGCUAACUACGUGCCAGCAGCAGC
rnacentral:rRNA from 1 species